rnacentral:siRNA from 1 species
UUCUGUCUGCGGUUCGAAUCCG